rnacentral:lncRNA from 1 species
GAGCCAGUGUCUUCACUAUCCCAUAAUUUUUGGUUUAGUCUCAGCCUCCUCUUGUUGCCUCUCUUUCAGCUUCAUUUUACUCUCAGGAUGGAAGAGCUGAGCCUCCAUGUUCAUGCCCAGAGUCUUGCUCUGUUGCCCAGGCUGGAGUGCAAUGGUGUGGUCUCAGCUCACUGCAACUUCCACUUCUCAGGUUCAAGCAAUUCUCCUGC